AGUGAACGCUGGCGGCGUGCUUAACACAUGCAAGUCGAACGAGAACGGAUUAUAGCUUGCUAUAAUUGUCAGCUAAGUGGCGCACGGGUGAGUAAUGUAUAGGUAAUAUGCCUCUUACUAAGGGAUAACAAAUGGAAACGUUUGCUAAUACCUUAUACUCCUUAUUAACAUAAGUUAAUAAGGGAAAGAUUUAUUGGUAAGAGAUUAGCCUGUAUUGUAUCAGUUAGUUGGUGGGGUAAUGGCUUACCAAGACUAUGACACAUAACUGGUUUGAGAGGAUGAUCAGUCACACGGGAAAUGAGACACGGUCCAGAAUCCUACGGGGGGCAGCAGUGGGGAAUAUUGCACAAUGGACGAGAGUCUGAUGCAGCAACGCCGCGUGGAGGAUGACACAUUUCGGUGCGUAAACUCCUUUUAUAUGAGAAGAUAAUGACGGUAUUAUAUGAAUAAGCACCGGCUAACUCCCUGCCAGCAGCCGCCGUAA
rnacentral:rRNA from 1 species